rnacentral:tRNA from 1 species
UAUGGGCUGGUCCAUGGGGGCUAACGACGCUGCAAACUGCGUCGGAGCUGACAUUGGUUCGGGAGCAAUGUCCAUGA